UUCCUCAUAGCUCAGUCGGUAAAGAAUCUGCCCGCAAUGCAGGAGACCUAGGUUCAAUUCCUGGGUCGGGGAA
rfam:TPA: Bos taurus chromosome 10, whole genome shotgun sequence.